rnacentral:lncRNA from 1 species
UUGGUCUCUGUUAUUAACUUAGGGCGGAUAUAAUUCUGAUAAUUUGCAUGCUAAUAGGAUGAGUGACGCCAUGCCUUAGAUCAUGUUUCCGAUUGACUCGUGUGCUAAAGUGUUUUCUUGUUUAAUCUCUACGCAACGUGUCUUUAAAUGAGUUAGCAUUCAUGUUUAGGAUCAAGCGCAAAGAUGGUUCUAAAUACUUGAGGAGUCUUAACAAUUAGAUAACCGCAAAGGCUCUAAUUAGAAUCGGAAUUGGUUAGAGUCUAGGAUAAUUUGAACGUUGCUGCCCGGCCUUGCAUGAAGUUGUUAUGUGUUCUUGAUGGUUUUUCGUGUUAUGUGUUGCAUGAGUAUGUUGAUCAUUUGUAUAUAAUAAUCUUAGCUUUAAUUUUCAGUAGGUUAUUUGUUAGAAUUAAUCAAUCUUAAACCCCCAAUAUUUCAAUAUAUAUAUGUGAAUACUUGUUUAUAAGUUGUUUGGUUUAUCUUCUUUCGAUCGCCCUUUGGUUUCCCCGGUUAGAACGAUCCCUACUUGUCCAUAUUACUACGAUUGCAGGGUAAUUAAAUUGAAGUUGUUUGACCCCGGUUACGCGACACGUCAUGUUGCAACGAACUCGGAUACUCCCUGGGCACUUUCACAAUUCAACAUGCAGAUAGAGAUGUUGAUUGCUUGUGAAAGUUGAAAGUCUGCGUGUUGAAUUGUGAAAGUGCCCAGGAGUAUGUACUACUAAAUGCAUUGGACUUGAAACUGUUGAAGAAGAAACUAUGAAAGAUAGUGUAUCGUAAACCAUGUCAUAUGCUAUAACACGAGUAGUAGAGAAACAAUAAGGACUUUGAGCAUACAUAUAUGCAGACAAGAGAUGAAGAAGUUCAAGUUUAAGUCACAAAGUGUAAUUUCAAAACCAAUUACAGAACUCAAAAUCCAACAAGUAGUCUAGGCCCUAGAUUGCAAAAUCCACAACAUCAUUUUUCGAAACACUUUGGUGUAAACCUAGAACUGGCAAGAUAACUGCGCACUAAGGCAGUAACCAGACUGGUCCAGGCAUAUUGAAAGGUAAGCCUAUUAGUAGGUGAGAGAAAAAAGACCUUAACUUACAUCAACAAUCAAAUCAAGCUCCUUUUCCAAAAUCGAUCCAACAUUUCAAUUAUUUGAGCUCACUCAAAUUAGAUAUCUGACCAUGUAAUCUGCAUUUACCCAUUAACUUAACGAGAUGCAUAUGAGUUUUGUUUAGUUCAUCUCAAAGCUUGAAUCUUUAACAAGUAAAUAGUUAGAGCAAAUCUGAAUCAAACAGAGAAAAUCAAACAAAAACUUAUCUGGGCAGAUUUGGGAGAAAAUCCAUGUGGCCACUUGAAGUUGCGUACUCUCGGAUCUUCUCUCCUUUGGA